AUCCUGGCUCAGGAUGAACGCUAGCUACAGGCUUUAACACAUGCAAGUCGAGGGGAAACGNUAUUGGAAGCUUGCUUCUGAUAGGCGUCGACCGGCGCACGGGUGAGUAACGCGUAUCCAACCUGCCCAUCACUUGGGGAUAACCUUGCGAAAGUAAGACUAAUACCCAAUGACGUCUCUAGAAGACAUCUGAAAGAGAUUUAAAGAUUUAUCGGUGAUGGAUGGGGAUGCGUCUGAUUAGCUUGUUGGCGGGGUAACGGCCCACCAAGGCGACGAUCAGUAGGGGUUCUGAGAGGAAGGUCCCCCACAUUGGAACUGAGACACGGUCCAAACUCCUACGGGAGGCAGCAGUGAGGAAUAUUGGUCAAUGGACGAGAGUCUGAACCAGCCAAGUAGCGUGCAGGAUGACGGCCCUAUGGGUUGUAAACUGCUUUUAUAAGGGAAUAAAGUGGGAGUCGUGACUCUUUUUGCAUGUACCUUAUGAAUAAGGACCGGCUAAUUCCGUG
rnacentral:rRNA from 1 species